CCUACGGGUGGCAGCAGUGAGGAAUAUUGGUCAAUGGGCGCAAGCCUGAACCAGCCAAGUAGCGUGAAGGAUGACGGCCCUACGGGUGGUAAACUUCUUUUAUAAGGAAGUAAAGUGAGGCACGUGUGCCUUUUUGUAUGUACUUUAUGAAUAAGGAUCGGCUAACUCCGUGCCAGCAGCCACGGUAAUACGGAGGAUCCGAGCGUUAUACGGAUUUGUUGGGUUUAAAGGGAGCGUAGGCGGGUUGUUAAGUCAGUUGUGAAAGUUUGCGGCUCAACCGUGAAAUUGCAGUUGAUACUGGAAGACUUGAGUACAGUUGAGGUAGGCGGAAUUCGUGGUGUAGCGGUGAAAUGCUUAGAUAUCACGAAGAACACCGAUUGCGAAGGCAGCUUACUAAACUGCAACUGACAUUGAUGCUCGAAAGCGUGGGUAUCAAACAGGAUUAGAUACCCCUGUAGUC
rnacentral:rRNA from 1 species